rnacentral:rRNA from 1 species
AUUGAACGCUGGCGGCAGGCCUAACACAUGCAAGUCGAGCGGAUGAAGGGAGCUUGCUCCUGGAUUCAGCGGCGGACGGGUGAGUAAUGCCUAGGAAUCUGCCUGGUAGUGGGGGAUAACGUCCGGACACGGGCGCUAAUACCGCAUACGUCCUGAGGGAGAAAGUGGGGGAUCUUCGGACCUCACGCUAUCAGAUGAGCCUAGGUCGGAUUAGCUAGUUGGUGGGGUAAAGGCCUACCAAGGCGACGCUCCGUAACUGGUCUGAGAGGAUGAUCAGGCACACUGGAACUGGGACACGGUCCAGACUCCUACGGGAGGCAGCAGUGGGGAAUAUUGGACCAUGGGCGAAAGCCUGAUCCAGCCAUGCCGCGUGUGUGAAGAAGGUCUUCGGAUUGUAAAGCACUUUAAGUUGGGAGGAAGGGCAGUAAGUUAAUACCUUGCUGUUUUGACGUUACCAACAGAAUAAGCACCGGCUAACUUCGUG